AUCUUGAUGACGAGUCCCAAAUAGGACGAAACGCGCGUCCUGGAU
rnacentral:hammerhead_ribozyme from 1 species